CCUUAUUCUGUGGUUGCUGUUCUGUGGU
rnacentral:piRNA from 1 species